GCUAAUGAGUUCACCUGUGGCGACUCGUGCUCAGUCAUCUCUAACUUACCUGUCUGCUGCUCAGUAGGCCAAACUAAGCAGGUCUGUCUCCCCACUAACCGUCUAACGUCUCCCAGGUGAACCGAGAGGUAACGAACGCUUUUCGAAGUAAAACAGACCACCACAUCUGGACCUGCUGUCAAAGAGGAGAAAGUGAUUCUGUGAGUAUCAAAACUGAACCAUGAAGAAGAAACUGCGAACUGUAAGUCCUUAUAUUUCCUCUUUAUGCUGGGGCAUUGUUUUGGCCUCCUCGUUGGCUGAGGUGGAAAGGUGAAUGAUUUAGAUAAUGUUUUUUGUUGGUACGUGGGCUAAUUACCUGUUUAGUUUGAACAUGUGUCAAUGCUGUGUUAGAAGGGGUGUAGUAUAGGUUCCAAGUGAAUUGUGAGAAUAGUAACAUAGGGUUUCUCAGAGUGCAGCCAAAACAUACUCCAAGGUUUUGUCUAGAUUUUCUUUCGACAUGCUUCGCCACUACUUCCUGAACUUUGCAUCACGUCACAUGAGUUACCGUACUGAUUAGGGUUCGGAUUGAGUGAUCAGAGAUGCAUGCUAGGGUUCUGCGCUGUCUGAAGCCUCCAGCUCUGUAGACUUGCCCCCUUCAGGUGAAGGCAUGUGUCUAAGAGGUGGUUGUGAAGUCAUUUACAUGAACUGGGAUGUCAUUCAGAUGGUGACAGGCUCUCACCUAAAGGAGAAACGCCCGGGGAUGAGAGGUGAGGGCUCUUCCUCAACGACUAGAACAGCACCUCGGUCCUUCGCUAGAGAACCAUGGAGCACAUUUCAACGUUGCCCACCAUACAUCUUGAAGCCGUAGCUACGGUUUCUCUACCUCCGCAGCUGGAGUAGAGCACAGCUGCAGUCACGAAAAGGGUCCUUGGUGGGAUCUUACCGCCAUAGGUUCUGAUUUAAGAGGACCGAACUUCCAGGACCAGCUGGCCUCCUCCAUUACUCUGCAGUUCAGCCUGAGAAAGGCUUGCAUCUGAGCCAGCAGAGGGCUCAUCGGCCUGCUGUUCACAUGGGAUGAGGAGAAUCCUACUGUAAAGACCUACCAACCAAUCCCUGCUCUGUUCAAGGUCUGGUCCGUUCAAGACCUACCUACCAACUACUGGGACGUCCGAUACCUACCAACUACUGGGACGUCUGAAACCUACCAACUACUGGGAUGUCUGAAACCUACCAACUACUGGGAUGUCUGAAACCUACCAACUACUGGGAUGUCUGAAACCUACCAGCUACUGGGAUGUCUGAAACCUACCAGCUACUGGGAUGUCUGAAACCUACCAGCUACUGGGAUGUCUGAAACCUACCAGCUACUGGGAUGUCUGAAACCUACCAGCUACUGGGAUGUCUGAAACCUACCAACUACUGGGAUGUCUGAAACCUACCAACUACUGGGAUGUCUGAAACCUACCAACUACUGGGAUGUCUGAAACCUACCAACUACUGGGAUGUCUGAAACCUACCAACUACUGGGAUGUCUGAAACCUACCAACUACUGGGAUGUCUGAAACCUACCAACUACUGGGAUGUCUGAAACCUACCAACUACAGGGAUGUCUGAAACCUACCAACUACUGGGAUGUCUGAAACCUACCAGCUACUGGGAUGUCUGAAACCUACCAACUACUGGGAUGUCUGAAACCUACCAUCCCUCCACUGGGGUGACCUAAUCAGAUUACCUUCUCACCACUUCCAUCAAAUCCCGUCCCUGUUCUCAGGCUCAUCAAAGCGGAAGAGUUUGAGUCUGAAGGAAAACAACUGGACUGCCUGUGGCUCUUCAGGUGGGCAUGGCGAGGGUUCUGCCUGGCCUGGUUGUUCAAGUGGUCAGGGUUCUACCUGGCCUGGUUGUUCAUGCGGUCAGGGUUCUACCUGGCCUGGUUCUUCAUGCGGUCAGCGUUCUACCUGGCCUGGUUUUUCAUGUGGUCAGGGUUC